rnacentral:rRNA from 1 species
AGUGAACGCUGGCGGUAGGCCUAACACAUGCAAGUCGAACGGCAGCACAGUAAGAGCUUGCUCUUACGGGUGGCGAGUGGCGGACGGGUGAGGAAUACAUCGGAAUCUACUUUUUCGUGGGGGAUAACGUAGGGAAACUUACGCUAAUACCGCAUACGACCUACGGGUGAAAGCAGGGGAUCUUCGGACCUUGCGCGAUUGAAUGAGCCGAUGUCGGAUUAGCUAGUUGGCGGGGUAAAGGCCCACCAAGGCGACGAUCCGUAGCUGGUCUGAGAGGAUGAUCGGCCACACUGGAACUGAGACACGGUCCAGACUCCUACGGGAGGCAGCAGUGGGGAAUAUUGGACAAUAGGCGCAAGCCUGAUCCAGCCAUACCGCGUGGGUGAAGAAGGCCUUCGGGUUGUAAAGCCCUUUUGUUGGGAAAGAAAAGCAGCAGGUUAAUACCCCGCUGUUCUGACGGUACCCAAAGAAUAAGCACCGGCUAACUUCGUG